GGGUAUUAAUCAACAAGUCAAAUUGAAUGGUUGUUUCGUAAAAAGAAAUUCAUAAUUGGUGAUUGACAUACAUCAGACAGUUUUUUAUAAGAUAAGAUAACUCUUUGAAUUAAGUCCCUUUAUUUUUUUUUUUAUCAUUUAAUUAUAAUUUUUAGGAUUUUCAUUUUAAAAGAAUUAAAGAGUGGUGACGCCAGUACAACUUUUAUUUUCAGCUUCACUGGAUUCAUUACACAAAAAAAAAGUGGAAAUAAAUAUAAAAUAAGUUCCAAUACCAAUAGUGAAGGAUCUCUAACGGUUUUAAAUAGUAAUCAAAUAUACCAAGUACAGCACAGUUUGUUUUGUUGAUGUUUUUUCUAAUUUUCGUAAAUGAAAUCGAUUAAAAAAUAUUUGUUGACCGAAAACUUAUAUGCCAAUGUUCUGAUUUUAUUUUCAAUUUAUAUCCGUUAGUUUUCGCAUUCUUUUAAGACAUCUAGCUGUUUAGUACCUGCGAAUUUACCAAUUGCGUCCUAUUCCUUAUAAUAACUGUUUACCAUUCCUAGUAGGGUGACAAUGGCAAGAGCCAUUAGUUAACAUACCCGAAUCAAUCUCUUUCUUUUUUUUUUUUUGAGCUUUUGAUUUUGAUUAGGGACUUUCCGUUUUUAAUUUACCUCGGAGUUCAGUAAUUGUGUGAUUUUACAUUUUUCUGUUUGGAAUAGUUAUCAAAGGUACUAGGAUUAUAAUUUAGUACGCCAGACGCGCGUUUCGUCUACAUAAGACUCAUCAGUGACGCUCAUAUCAAAAUAUUUAUAAAGCCAAACAAGUACAAAGUUGAAGAGCAUUGAGGAUCCAAAAUUCCAAAAAAGUUGUGCCAAAUACAUCUAAGGUAAUCUAUGCCUGGGAUAAGAAAAUCCUUAGUUUUUCGAAAAAUUCAAAGUUUUGUAAACAGGAAAUUUAUAAAAAUGACCACAUUAUUGAUAUUCAUGUCAACAGCGAAGUGUUGACUACUGGGCUGGUGAUACCCUUCGGGACGAAACGUCCACCAGCAGUGGCAUCGACCCAGUGGUGUAAAUAGUUAUCAAAGGUACCAGGAUUAUAAUUUAGUACGCCAGACGCGCGUUUCGUCUACAUAAGACUCAUCAGUGACGCUCAUAUCAAAAUAUUUAUAAAGCCAAACAAGUACAAAAUUCAAAGUUUUGUAAACAGGAAAUUUAUAAAAAUGACCACAUUAUUGAUAUUCAUGUCAACAGAAAUCAGACUAUUCUCUUGUUUUUUUUUUUUUUUUUUUUUUUUUUUUUUUUUUUUUGUUUUUUAUUUAAAUUUAAUUCUAUGUACCAUCUGUGAACAAUGGUAAAUAACUGGUGCCUCUACUUUUAAUCUGUUUUACUAAUUUUUCAUCUGACGUCGAUUGACUACCUUCAAAUGGAAAAGGCAAAAAUUGAUUGUGUAAUACUAAACUAAGAGGGUGCCUACAACUUUCUCUUCUAAUUUGAUACUAAGAGGGUUCCUAUUUUUUGUCUUCUAAUAUAAUUUGAAGGGGACUCCUAUUGCUUUCUUCUAAUAUAAUACUUUUGAUACUACAUUCAGUGUAAACUUCGAAUAUUAAAAUAUUAAGGGUACCUUAUGCCUAGAAGGUUCCUUUUUAUGAUAUCUACUAAGUAAAAUGUGAUCAUCUAAUGAUAUAGUAUGGAGUGUAUCUAUGAAAUAUACAUAGAACAAUUUCAAAUAAUUUGUUUUCAAUAUGUAUACAGUGUGAUGUCGUUAACACACCAGGGAAACUGUAAUACGACUUGAUGAAGAAAAUGUUAGCAUACAGUCUUUAACUAAAACGAUUGUCUAUACAAACGGCAAAGCACUAUAUCUCCCCAGUUUAAAAUAAGGUAUACAACUUUUCAUCCCCCCUUUGAAUACUUAAUUGGUAAUAAAAUAUGUUCUUGUUCUAGUUCAUGUUCUAUACUCUUUGAUUAAUCCUUAAUGAAUAUGUAUACAUGUUUACGAAUAUUUCACAUUUUUAAAAUUAGAAAAAUAUAUAUUCUUAGGAUUAUUUGUAAUGCUAAGAAGAUAUAUAUUUUUUGGUAUAUUAGGUAAUUUUGUGAUUAAAAUCUGUGAAAAAGAAAUAAAAAUAUU
rnacentral:lncRNA from 1 species